UGGCAUAGUGGUUAAUGCUAUGGCUGCUAACCAAGAGGUCGGCAGUUAGAAUCUGCC
rnacentral:tRNA from 1 species